rnacentral:SRP_RNA from 1 species
ACUGUUAGCAGCGUAGGAUUGAGGAGUUGGAAGAGACCUUUAAGACAGUUGGUUAUUAUGCCAACUGGGUGUCCGCACUAAGUUUGGUAUCAGUAUGGUGACCUUCUGGGAACAGGGGGCCAUUGGGUUGCCUAAGGAUGGGAGAACUGGCCUAGGUCAGAAAGGAAGCAGGUCAGAAUUCCUGCACCAAUCGGUAGUGGGAGUGUGCCUGGGCAAUAUAGCAAGAUCUUGGUUCUUAAAACUCAAAGAACAGCUCAUUCCC